AAUAGUAGUUAAGGUCUUAAAACCCAAAUAAUUUGGCGGUAUUUUAUUCCAUUCAGAGGAACCUACCCCGUAAUUGAUAGUACACGAUUAACUUUACUUAAUUUAUUUGUUUGUAUAUUUCCGUUAUCAGAAGAUCUUUUUAGAGUUAUAAUUUUCUUGAUUUAUAAUUAUAUAGUAUUUCAGGUCAAAGUGCAGCUUAUAAUUAAGAGGAGGUGGGUUACAAUAAAUUUUUUUUAUGAUGGAUUUAUUAUUGAAAUAAUAAUAAUGAAGGUGGAUUUGACAGUAAUUUAAUUUAUUUAAUUUUAUUGAUAUUGGCUCUAGGAUGUGU
rnacentral:rRNA from 1 species